ensembl:lncRNA
GAUCUUCGCAAUUUAACAUCGCAAAGGCCUUUAGAUUACACUGACAAAGUUUGGUGUUGAUCUGAAUAAAUCUCUAGGAGGAGUUCGUUAAAGUACAACCCUUGAAAAUGGCAAAAACGACACAAAUUUUGCAGAGUAAAUUCAAAAUAACUGACUUCCUGUUGGGAUUCGAAUUUCGUACCAAGAGACUUUUUUGUAGGUAUUGGUGUGUUACAUGUGUGUACCGAUUUUUGUACAUGUACGUGAAACGUAGCUCGAGGCACACUCCAUUGAAAGUGUAUAGGUGGCGCUAUCGAGGCAUUUUGCCACACCCGAUGGAAUAUUGGCCUUCAGAUGUGUUCAGGCCAGGACUCUUAUCAAACAUGUGAAGUUUGGGCAAGAUCGGACAUUUUAUGCCUGAGUUACAAUAACUUUUAUUCCCAUGGCGAGACAUCGAACUUUGUGACGUUUGGGCAAGAUCGGACAUUUUAUGCCUGAGUUACAAUAACUUUUAUUCCCAUGGCGAGACAUCGAACUUUGUGACGGCGCCAUGGACACGCCCUUUAACGAAAACUCAAGAUCUUCACAAUUUAACAUCGCACAGGCCUUUAGAAUAGAGUGACUGAAAAAAAAAAAUUAUGUCAUAAAAUUUCUCGGGGUAGUUUGUUACAGUGUAAAAUAUGUCACUUCCUGUUGCCAGUAGGUGGCGCUAUGACUAUAACUGAAUAUGGGCAUAUCAAUCUGUUCAGGUCAGGAGUCUUAUCAAACAUGUGAAGUUUGUGGCAGAUUGGACAUUGUAUGUCUGAGUUAUAGCAACUUCAUUUUUCAUGGCGAAUCAUCGAAAUUCGUCAGGCCGCCACGGACAUGCCCUUCAACGAAAACUCAAGAUCUUCGCAAUUUAACAUCGCAAAGGCCUUUAGAUUAGGCAUACCAAAUUUGGUGUUGAUCUGAAUAAAUCUCUAGGAGGAGUUCGUUAAAAUACAAGGCAUGCAAAUGACAAAAAU